AUGAUGCGUUCUGGAAGGUCAAGUAUGACCAUGGAGCUGCCAAAAAAGCCAGGAAGGCUAAGAAAGCCGCCAGGAGAGCCGCUCCCCGCAAGAAGGGGAGUAAGCCUAGCGCCUCAGAGCUGCUUCAGCUGGAUGAUAGCUCCGAGUCAGAGGAUGAUACCGGAGCGAGUAACCAUCUUAUUGACACUGAUCAUUUCCUCCGACUCGGAGCCCUUGCCAAGGCUGAAAGUCCGAAGAGUAACCCGGAAAGUAAGAUUUUCACAUCCUUUAGCUUAUCAAGAUCCUCAAUUUCUUUUGAAGCAACAGAUUCAUGAGAGCCGGAGACAAACCCGGGCCACCAAGGAUGCAGACCUCUCCUCUGGCUUACCUGAAGCAUCAAGGAAGCGCCGGACCGAGGUUAUCUCCAACUUAUAUCCUUUUCAUCAUUUGGCGGGCAUCAUUCGCCAACCACUCAAUUCUUCCGAUUCAAACUAUCAGGAAACUUCACCUUCCUCUGGUGACUCUAUGCAAUCUAACUUGCCGGCUUUCAAGACCGCACCUGGUGCUUAA
rnacentral:rRNA from 1 species